UUUUAUCUUUACUCAAUGGUUUAAUUUUUAAUUUGAUACACUUAAUUUAAUCACAAUAUGUAUAUAUCCUGGAUCAUAUUAGUUUUGCUUCUUUAAUUUUGUUUAUAAUAUUGAUAAUCUGAUCACGGUGAAGGAAAUAAUAAAGGUGAUAUUAAUUUCAACAACAGUUAUGUGUUCAUGAAGCUAAAAUGUGAGGUAAAAAAAGUAAUCAUCUUUACACAUUAUUAUCUGUAUUGUGUGUUGAAUUUUGACCGAGUUAAAAUUAAUUUCACAAUUAUCUGAGGUUAAAAUCAACAAAAGGUUUCGGAGUAUGGUAAAGUUUAAUGAUGAUUUUGAAUAAAACAAAGUUUUUGGUGGUUUUUUGCUCAACUUUAAAUAACUCAUUGCUGCCGUGAUGAUGAUGGUGAUGUUAUAGCUGUGUUAGUCUGUCAGCAAACAUUUAAAAGCCUAAGGCUAGUAUUGCCACUCAUCCUUUUGUCCCAAACUCUAGUUGAUUAGAGUUGUUAUGCAGCUUUCUCACCAUUUAACCGAUCACAACCAAUAUUGAGAGACUCUUUUUUAUUUCUCCGGCUUGUCUUCCUCAUCAUCAAAAAAUCAACAUGAACGUUCAUUUAUAAUCAAACUAAAGACAAGAUAAUGUUUACAGCAUAUUUGGCUUGAUUUAUCAAAUGUUUCAACCAGAAUUCAAAGCAAAUUGAUCAACUCAGCGCGGAAAGAUGUAAACAAGAGUUUUUACGUGCUGCUAAGCUUUUCUGAUGAGCUUAAUGAUCAGUGAGAAGAAACCUAUCGAUGAAUUUGAAUCAAUUUUUGCAAAGUGGUCCCGGUCAAUGGAGGUCAUCUCUUUGCCCUGACUCAGACCAUAUUAAUCUGUAAAAGAAGGGGUAAAAAGAAAGGAGAGAAGAUGGAGAUAUUUAUGGCAAUCUGCAAUCGAUGGAAGUUGAUCAACCAAGCGGUCCAGAGUUAUGAAUUUAGGUGCACAUUUGAGAGCAUAAAAUUGUGAUUCAAUGAUGGUUAAAUCAUUCGACCUUAAAUAUCGAUAGAUUUAGUUUUUAUUACAUUCAGUAACACUGAUUUAGUACAGUCUGAUAAAAAAGUCAACGAAUUGGAUUGUUUCCAUAUAAAAACUGAAUGCAGGAGUAUAAGCAUAAUCUUUGACUAUCGAGUCAGGAGCUCAGACUUGAUAAAUGUAUGAAUUUGUUCAAUUUAAAUUUUCUAGAGUCUAAAUUUUUCGAUGAAAUCGUGGUCAAAGUCAAAGUUCAAUUGCUUUUCGUACAGCUAUAGGUUUAUUUUCUCAUGAACCUGAUAUUGUGGCGUUACCUUCAAUGGUUUAAUGCAAAUCAACUUUUUUGAAAAAAGAUUUCCGUUACUACUCAACAACAUUCCUUUGAGUAAAAAGAUAAUGAAAGUAAUAAGAUAAAGGAUAAGGAGCUGAAAAAAUAAAACUGAAACUGAAAUUCAAAAAUAUUGGUGAAUUAAGAUGAUUAGGAUUCAUCGAUAGUUUUAAAACCUUUGGGUCAUUAGUAAUGUUUUUGUAGAAACACAAAGAGUAAAAUUUGCAGGAUUUUAAUCCUUAAAGCCCGAUCAUAGCCAAAAGGUCAAAAGGCUUAGGUUUAACCGCAAAAAUUGACCACAAAAGUGUUUUUACUCCAAUAUGGAUCAUAAUUUGAACCCAACAACGGCCAGAAAAUGUAGAUAAAUAAAUUAUAAUCAAAAUAUAGAGAUAUUAGUAUGCUGAGAGAAUAAUCAAAUAAACUAAAUAGUAAUUUACCUCCAUCAACACCUGUAACUGCAGUAACUUUAUCAGUAAAUUAUUUUCCAUGGUGAGCCUGACAUACAGAUGAGUACACAGAUAAUUUAGUGCAGAAAAAAAGACAAUCAAGUAGACAGUUAAUUGAGGUAGAUAAAUUGAAAAUUAUUUACGUAAUUGCUGGAUUGACGCCAGUAGAUCUAAAAGUCUGGUACACAUGUUUUAAUCUCAAAGCAGGUGGUGAACCAAAACCAGACUUUGUUACAAUUGUGUUCAUAACCAGACAAUUGUAAUCAAACCAAAUCCUUCAACCAACUUCUUUCCCCAACAAUAGAUGGCAGUACUGAUAGCGCUUCCUUACAAUUGUAUUUGUUUAUUUUUUGAUCAACAGUGGGUCAGCUUUGGUUAAUUUGUUGACUUGAACUCUCGCUGGGUCAGUUUAGGUUAAAUUCCGACUCACCUGAGCAGCUUGCAUCAUAAUUUGCCCAUUUGUGGGUCUAAUACAGGUUUAGGUGAUUUAUUUCAAGGAAAUGGUAUUGAGGAAUUGCCAAGGAUGAUUGUUUCUGCUUUUCAAGGAAUCCAGUUUAUCCGACAAUAUUUGUUGUUCAUUUGAAAUUUAAUUUUGCUCACUAGAUCAUUGGUUCAUUUAGGUGGAAAUUUGGUCAAAAUUUGUCGAUAAAAUUCCUGGUUUCUUUCCCCAGAAUUCCACUUGAAAAUCGAGUUCGAUCGAGUGAUAAUUAAUUUCCUGAGUUCAACCUAAUUUUGCAUAUUUACUGUAUUUGUAGUUUAGCUCAACUGAUCCGAUGUCACAACCUAACUGACCCACGAAGUGUGACUCACAGGUUGACCAAACAUUGAACACAAAACCUAAUUUGACCCAAUCAUGUUUGAGCACCCAAAUUGGACUCUGUAAACUAUCUCAGUCAAUUUGGUUAUCAAUCGUGAUUAUCAUAUUUACAAUUGUCAAUGAGCAAUGUAAACAAUAGAUUAGUGAAUCAAGUGCAAGGAAGGUUUGGUGAAUAGUGAUUUAAAUUGUGAUUUAGUCAAUUGAGAUGAGGACUUCGUGGUGAUACAAAAUUUGGUGAAAGGGAAGAGGAAGAAGGAAAAGUUGAAGUUUGCAUUAUUGAAUAGACUGCUGAUUCAGAAAAAUUGGGAAUGAUUAAUCUAUUCUGAAAAGGUGAAAACACCAAUUUUGUGGCAAAUGAAAAGAGUAAUCAAUUUGUUGAUCAACCAGUUAACCAGCCUUUUAAACGCAACCAAUUGCACAAUGAGAUCAACAAUGAAAUCGAUAAUAAAGUGAACAUUUUGAGCGCUGAUAAAAAGAGAGUCUCAAGUUUAAUUGUGAUUAUUGUGAGUGUAAAAGAAACUUGAUUAUCAUGAAAUGUUUGAUCAUUUCUGUAAACCCGUUUAAACCUUUAAAUUGAAUGUUUGAGUUUCACUAAAGGUACAAGUUGCAUGGAAGGAGAAGAAGAAGAAAAAAAGUUUCAAGAAAACGUCAAACAAGAGAUAAAAAAGAGGAAAAAAAUACUCGAUAAAAAGGUGAGUUUCAAGAAGAAGGUAAAGAUGAUGAUGAUGAUGAUGAUGUGUGAAGGAAAGAGAAAGAGAGAGAGAAGAUUGUUGAUUAUCUUCUAAAUUCCUUCAAACGAAAGUUGCAUACUAAGAAAAUAUUAUAAGCUUUUUCUCAAUUAACUUUAUUCCGAAAAGAAUCUGAGGCCAUUUUGUUUGUAACGGAAUUUAGGUCUUCAUCUUGUUCAUGUUUACCGUAAAUUCAACGCUUUCCCUUCAUCCUGAUCUUUUUAACCUCCCCCUGAUUACCCCCGUCAGGUAUCAUCGUUCAUCUUUACCUCAAUUUUUCGGCCAAUCAACUUCAAUUCUGUUUCAAUGAACUCACAAGUAAAAAA